UUUUUCUAUUUACAAAUAACCAAUGAUUUAAAGGAAAGAAUUUGCACCACAAAUGACCAUUAGAAAGCAAUAUACAUAAAAAAGAAUAAAAAAUACGCAGAAAUUGAAAAUGAAAGUGAGUAGAAAACAAACUGAAGGAAGAAAAAUACUCCAAAAGUUACAAAUGCAUUACGAUUCAGAAAAAUUUGUAUCAACAUGAACUGAUCGAAUAAGCUCCAAAAUGGGUUUUGC
rnacentral:lncRNA from 1 species